GUAUGUACUUACUUUGUGUUUUCUGUUUUGUUCAGUUUAUGGGAUGUGAUAUUUGUUACUUAAACUCUGUGUUUCCUAUGUAUUACUUUCAAAAUAGCUUGUAUGUGGGGAUACUUAUCCUCCCAUUUUCCAAGGGCUCCUUGGAAAGAAGUUACCGCUUAAGGUUGAUACCAAAGGUGUCCCACAUGAUACAUUUUAUGGCACUUUCCGAGUUAGGAGAAUAUGUGAUGAUCCCACCAUUAUUACCAUGUUUGAACUUCCCAAUUAUGAUGCUGAUGACGAGUCUACUCCAAAAAAGGAGCCUGAUUUACACAAAUCUGUCCUGUUUGGAAAAGCGGAUAUUGGUAUUAAGGAGGAGUCAUCAAAGACUUGUAUCAAAAGUAAAAAAGUUGAUGGUGAGUGUUUUGGGAUUUUAUGUAAAUCUCCAGUUCUUAUAGAUUUUCUUGCUAAAAAAUAGUCUGCUGUUUAUGGAGGGUCUGAGUUUUCUGGUUUAGUUAACGGUGAAGAUGGGAAAGAUG